AUCCAGCUGACGAGUCCCAAAUAGGACGAAACGCGAGUCUUAGAU
rfam:Schistosoma curassoni strain Dakar, Senegal genome assembly, scaffold: SCTD_contig0001724